rnacentral:rRNA from 1 species
UACGUAGGAGACGAGCGUUGUCCGGAGUUACUGGGCGUAAAGGGUGCGCAGGCGGCCUCGCGCGUCGCGAGUGAAAUCUCCCGGCUCAACUGGGAGGGUGGUCGCGAGACGGCGGGGCUGAGGCGUGGAGAGGGGCGUGGAAUUCCCGGUGUAGCGGUGAAAUGCGUAGAUAUCAGGAGGAACACCUGUGGCGAAAGCGGCUCACUGGACCACAACUGACGCUGAGGCGCGAAAGCUAGGGGAGCAAACAGG